rnacentral:tRNA from 1 species
GUUUCCGUGGUCAAUUGGUUAAGACAUUGGCGUUCUAAGUCAGUGACCCGGCUUCGACUCCUGGCGGAGACA